GGAGAUGGGUAUGAGACCCGUUUGAGUUGCUAUAGUGGUAACCCAACCUAUGUGAUUGGAGAUCCCGUGAAUUAGGAUCUGGGGAAAAUAAGCUUUUGGUUAAUUGAGGAGAGUAAUUCUUUAACCUUCUUUAAGUGAAGAUGCAAUACUCUCAAAUGUUGUAAGGCAUGUGUGCUGUAAGGCAGGUUGGCUAUAUGCAUUAAUGUGAUUCUAUUGACUUUGAUAAGCGAAAAUGUUGUUCUACAGAGCAUUCUUGAAAGAAC
rnacentral:lncRNA from 1 species